AACGAACGCUGGCGGCAGGCCUAACACAUGCAAGUCGAGCGAGGACUUCGGUCCUAGCGGCGGACGGGUGAGUAACGCGUGGGAACGUGCCCUUUGCUUCGGAAUAGCCCUGGGAAACUGGGAGUAAUACCGGAUGAGCCCUUUGGGGGAAAGAUUUAUCGGCGAAGGAUCGGCCCGCGUUGGAUUAGGUAGUUGGUGGGGUAAUGGCCUACCAAGCCGACGAUCCAUAGCUGGUUUGAGAGGAUGAUCAGCCACACUGGGACUGAGACACGGCCCAGACGCCUACGGGAGGCAGCAGUGGGGAAUCUUAGACAAUGGGGGAAACCCUGAUCUAGCCAGGCCGCGUGAGCGAUGAAGGCCUUAGGGUUGUAAAGCUCUUUCAGCUGGGAAGAUAAUGACGGUACCAGCAGAAGAAGCCCCGGCUAACUCCGU
rnacentral:rRNA from 1 species